rnacentral:rRNA from 1 species
GACGAACGCUGGCGGCGUGCUUAACACAUGCAAGUCGAACGGUAAGGCCCUUCGGGGUACACGAGUGGCGAACGGGUGAGUAACACGUGGGUGAUCUGCCCUGCACUUCGGGAUAAGCCUGGGAAACUGGGUCUAAUACCGGAUAGGACUCCUGGCUUCAUGGUUGGGGGUGGAAAGCUUUUGCGGUGUGGGAUGGGGCCGCGGCCUAUCAGCUUGUUGGUGGGGUAAUGGCCUACCAAGGCGACGACGGGUAGCCGGCCUGAGAGGGUGACCGGUCACACUGGGACUGAGCUACGGCCCAGACUCCUACGGGAGGCAGCAGUGGGGAAUAUUGCACAAUGGGCGCAAGCCUGAUGCAGCGACGCCGCGUGAGGGAUGACGGCCUUCGGGUUGUAAACCUCUUUCAGCUAUGACGAAGCGCAAGUGACGGUAGUAGCAGAAGAAGGACCGGCCAACUACGUGCCAGCCGCCGCGGUAAAAC